GGGCCGGUAGCUCAGUUGGUAAAGCAUCCGUCUAGUAUAGGAAGGUUGUAGGUGUUCGACUCCUAGCCAUUCCA